GGCCGUGGCCUGGCUGAGCACGUUCCCGGCCGGAGUCGCGGAGCAGCGCUGGGCUCCCGCAGCUGGGCUGCCAGGCGGGGCGGUAACCCCGCGUGGUUGCGAACCGCUGGAUGGCUGAGCGUGUGCGUUGCUCUUCCUUCUGCUAUCGCCGGGCCAACCCCCGAGAGAAGCGCGGUCACGUUUCUUAAUGCCUCUCUGGAAAGUGCUUAGUCUCUGCAGGGAUCGGCGCAGCUCAAGAACUUCCACCGAGUGGAGUAAAUGCCACCUCUGGAAAUAAUCCCCUGCAGGACGUUACAUGUUUCCAUCUUCAUACGUGUCCAUGUACCUUUCUUUAACCUCUGUCAGGACUAACUGUCUUCUUUUUGCACAGUGUGUUGUUAUAGGUUGGACUCCCUUCGUCCGGCACUCUGGAUUUUGCCAGACCAGGGGAGGUUAUAUCAGGCCCCCCUACUACUGAUCUCAACCACCAACGCUGGACUGGCUAACAACCUCCCCUGUUGCCAUCCCAGCUGCCCUGCUGGUCCUCCUUCCCCUCUUGCUUCCCGCCAGGCAGCCCAGCUGCCACAUGCCAGGCUCCCGGUACCGCCAGGCUGCCACAUUCUGGAUUCCCAGUCUGCCAGAUAGCUCAGCUGGGUCACGCCUGGCAGCCCAGCUGCAGGGAGCCCAGCUGCCAGCACUCCAUUGGAACUCUCUAGUCCUGGAACAUCUGUGGUCCUUUGCCAGACCAGAGAGUCCCAGCUGACCCUCUGUAAACCUAUACUAAGUAUAGUUUAAAAAACUUGCUCACAUAUUUAUCUUCUGCAUUGGCAUUGAUAGUAUUCACAGAAGUGCAUCAUACUGAGUAAUCCUAAAUAAGAAGAUUGCAUAAAAGAAUUAGGAGAAAUGUAUAGGUGUUAAGAGUGUAAUAGAACAAGGCAAAAGAUGGCAGAGCAAGGACGUGACGAAUCAGAUGGUUAGGAAUGAAGCCUACAAACUGGGGAGGAUAAAGAGUUAGUAUAUAUCAUAAUCUAACUUGUAUUUUGUUUUAAAACAGGUUUUUGAUAAAAGGACAAAAAUUGCAGUUAUUUGAAUUGAAACCUACUCCACAAAACUGUCUUCAUAAUACAUAGAGAAUACAAACUGAGCUCCAUUAUGAAGGUGUUCUGUGGAAGGGCCAAUCCAACCACAGGUUCAAUGGAAUGGUUAGAGGAAGAUGAGGACUAUGACUUUCAUCAGGAGAUUGCAAGAUCCUGCUAUGCAGACAUGCUUCAUGACAAAGACAGAAAUGUGAAGUAUUACCGGGGCAUUCGUGCUGCAGUGAGCAGGGUGAAAGGAAGGGGCGAGAAAGCAAUUGUCCUAGACAUUGGGACUGGCACAGGACUCCUGUCCAUGAUGGCAGUUACAGCAGGUGCAGACUUCUGCUAUGCUAUUGAGGUCUUCAUGCCUAUGGCUGUUGCUGCUGAAAAGAUAGUGGAGAAAAAUGGCUUUAGUGACAAGAUCAAGAUAAUCAACAAGCACUCCACAGAUGUUACAGUUGGACCAGAUGGAGACAUGCAGUGUCGUGCAAAUAUCUUGAUAACAGAGUUAUUUGACACAGAGCUGAUAGGAGAAGGAGCUUUACCAUCCUAUGAACAUGCCCACAAAUAUCUUGUGCAGGAAGGAUGUGAGGCAGUGCCUCACAGGGCAAGAGUAUAUGCCCAAUUAGUGGAAUCCAAAAGAAUGUGGUCCUGGAACAAGCUUUUUCCUGUUCACGUCCAAGCAGAGGAUGAUGAGAAAAUUAUUGUCUUCCCUUCAGAAAUAGACACCUGUCCUGGUGUUCCUUCUGUCUAUGAUAUCCAACUAAACCAGGUGCCUCAGAGUGACUUCACUGUCCUCAGUGAUGUUGUGACUAUGUUCAGUAUGGAUUUCAGUAAGGAAGUAAACAGCUCGUCAGCCUGUUACACAGUGAAGUUGCAGCCCAUAAAAUCUGGCAUGGCACAAGUGAUCCUUUCAUGGUGGGAUAUUGAUAUGGACCCCUCUGGGACGAUAAAAUGUACUAUGGCACCAUACUGGGUACAACCUGCCUCUCAUGAUGUCCAGUGGCGAGAUCAUUGGAUGCAGUGUGUAUAUUUCCUUCCAAAGGAGGAACCAGUUCUUCAGGGUGAGAGUGUGUGCCUUUCUGCAUAUCGUGAUGAAUAUUCCGUGUGGUAUAAGCUCCAGAAGGCCAGAAAUGAAGAGGACAAAAAAGAUGCCUAUUUUGGGAGUCCUCUUUGUAGCUGUCAGGCUCAUCUGCUUUGGAACAGACCACGCUUUGGAGAGCUAAAUGAUCUGAACCGAACAAACCAGUACAUCCAGGCUCUGAUGACAGUACUGAAAAAAGACAGUAUUUGCCUCUGCAUCAGUGACGGCAGCCUGCUUCCGCUGCUGGCUCAGUAUCUUGGAGCAGAGCAGGUGUUUACAGUAGAGAACUCUGCAGUAUCGCAUUGUCUCAUGGAAAAAAUCUUUAAAGCCAACCAAGUAGGAGAUAAAAUUAAAAUAAUAGAGAAACGUCCUGAAUUAUUGACCCCUUCUGACUUGGAAUAUAAAAAGGUCUCAGUCCUCAUUGGAGAACCAUUUUUCACUACAAGCCUUUUACCAUGGCACAACCUCUACUUUCUGUAUGCUAGGACAGCUGUGGCAACUCACCUCACAAACAAUGUCACCAUCCUGCCACAAUCUGCUUCCCUUUACAUGAUGAUCGUGGAAUUCAAGGACUUGUGGAGAAUUCGAAGCCCAUGUGGUAUCUGUGAAGGGUUUGAUGUUCACAUUAUGGAUGACAUGAUUAAGUGCAGUUACUUAGACUAAAACACUUUCCAGGAACCAGUGAUGAGACUUGGCUAGUCGUGGUUAAUCCUGUGACACCGGCUUUACUGGCAUGUCCCAUUACCAGUAAUAAGAUGAGCUUGAAAAGCCUGAGGACUAAUCAACUUUAUUGCAAAAAUUAGAAUUCUCUGAAUUUUAGGGAGUCUAAGGAGGCAGAGCCUCACCCAUUGUGGGAAUAUCCUUGCAAAUCACUGUCUGACCCCCAAGAGGUUAUGACAUUUGACUUCAGACUGACUGUACCACAACAAAUUCUCAGCACAGAUGGCUCUGUAAAUCUGUUAAGGACUGGGAAGAGCCAUGGAGCAGUUCUGUGGAUGGAAUAUCAUCUGACUGAGGAUAUCUCAGUCAGCACAGGACUUCUGCAGAUUUCAGAUGAAAAGGGCAAUUGCAAAUGGAAUCCGCACUGCAAACAAGCUGUCUUUUUCUUCAGUUUUGCUCUUGAACCAGAAAGUCUGACAGACCUCCCUAGUGCUAUCACGUACAAUA